AAUAAAUAGUUGGUGCCGUGCCGAGGGCACGGAGAAUAGGGAAACAGGUGAAAGGCCUGUGCGAUCUCGUCACUGUAUGCAGCAGCAUAUUACGAAUACGUCACUCGGAUUUUCCGGGGAAGGCUGUAGUAUGCGUUAACCUGUGAGCCAGGAGACCUGCCAGCUAUGG
rnacentral:ncRNA from 1 species